rnacentral:rRNA from 2 species
UGGCGGUUUUAGCGCGGUGGUCCCACCUGACCCCAUGCCGAACUCAGAAGUGAAACGCCGUAGCGCCGAUGGUAGUGUGGGGUCUCCCCAUGUGAGAGUAGGGAACUGCCAGGCA